rnacentral:rRNA from 1 species
GACGAACGCUGGCGGCGUGCUUAACACAUGCAAGUCGAACGGAAAGGCCCUGCUUGCAGGGUACUCGAGUGGCGAACGGGUGAGUAACACGUGGGUGAUCUGCCCUUCACUUCGGGAUAAGCUUGGGAAACUGGGUCUAAUACCGGAUAGGAGCCAUCUUUAGUGUGGUGGUUGGAAAGUUUUUUCGGUGUAGGAUGAGCUCGCGGCCUAUCAGCUUGUUGGUGGGGUAAUGGCCUACCAAGGCGGCGACGGGUAGCCGGCCUGAGAGGGUGUACGGCCACAUUGGGACUGAGAUACGGCCCAGACUCCUACGGGAGGCAGCAGUGGGGAAUAUUGCACAAUGGGCGCAAGCCUGAUGCAGCGACGCCGCGUGGGGGAUGAAGGCCUUCGGGUUGUAAACUCCUUUCGCUAGGGACGAAGCUUUGUUGUGACGGUACCUAGAGAAGAAGCACCGGCUAACUACGUG